ACGGGUGAGUAACACGUGGGUGAUCUGCCCUGCACUCUGGGAUAAGCUUGGGAAACUGGGUCUAAUACCGGAUAUGACCGCAUGCCGCAUGGUGUGUGGUGGAAAGAUUUAUCGGUGCAGGAUGGGCCCGCGGCCUAUCAGCUUGUUGGUGGGGUAAUGGCCUACCAAGGCGACGACGGGUAGCCGACCUGAGAGGGUGACCGGCCACACUGGGACUGAGACACGGCCCAGACUCCUACGGGAGGCAGCAGUGGGGAAUAUUGCACAAUGGGCGGAAGCCUGAUGCAGCGACGCCGCGUGAGGGAUGAAGGCCUUCGGGUUGUAAACCUCUUUCAGCAGGGACGAAGCGUGAGUGACGGUACCUGCAGAAGAAGCACCGGCUAACUACGUGCCAGCAGCCGCGGUAAUACGUAGGGUGCGAGCGUUGUCCGGAAUUACUGGGCGUAAAGAGUUCGUAGGCGGUUUGUCGCGUCGUUUGUGAAAACCCGGGGCUCAACUUCGGGCUUGCAGGCGAUACGGGCAGACUUGAGUGUUUCAGGGGAGACUGGAAUUCCUGGUGUAGCGGUGAAAUGCGCAGA
rnacentral:rRNA from 1 species